UUCAGAAUAUUGGUGCUGGGCAAAAGGUCACAUUUUGCACAACACCAAUAUUCUGAGG
rnacentral:pre_miRNA from 2 species